UUUCGGAGCUGUGCGGCAGGCUGAGCAGGAAUGGCAAUGUGGACCUCUGUGAUGGGACAACUGGUGGGAUCUCACAUCCAGUUCUGUGUCAAAGGAGGAUGAAGACUAAGGACUCAUGAGGAAGCUGGAUUACUGGACGAGAGCAAUGUUCUAGAAGGGAAGACCAGAAAAUGAGAUGGUGGAGUUUAAUAAGGCUGGACAGACAGUUUUGAAAACACAAAUGGUUUGAAUAAAGAAAGGUAAGCAUUGUAAAUUUGGUAUUUACUAUAUAAAUUAAGGUACUGUUAGUGAUGACCAAUAACGUUAAACAGAUGGGAAUCUCUCUGAAUAAGACUGAAGAUUGAUUGUUCAGCUGAAACAGUAUUUAAGAACAUCAGCAAAUACAGUUUAUAAAUACAUAUUUCUAAAUGGAGUGUAAUUUCUGCAGGUAUUACACAUGGAUCCCCUCAGUUGAAGGCACUGAUGGGUCUUUCUGAAUUUCUGGUCCUUCUGAAUUUCAAGGGCUCCUGUGACAAGUAGACAU
ensembl:processed_transcript